AAUUCUCAACCUUACCAGCUUUUGUUGGUAAUGGCUUGGAUGUGGGGGUUUAUUGCUGGCUUCUAACGAGGUCUGCUCCCCUUAAAUGUAUUAGCUGGUUGCCUUGUGCAGACUUGUCUAUUGGUGUGAUAAUUAUCUACGCCGUGGACUUUCUGCCAGUAUUUAGCACCGCUUCUAACUGUCUGUUCAUUCAGACAAUAUAUGACA
rnacentral:misc_RNA from 1 species